rnacentral:rRNA from 1 species
UGGGGAAUAUUGGACAAUGGGGGGAACCCUGUUCCAGCCAUGCCGCGUGUGUGAAGAAGGCCUUAUGGUUGUAAAGCACUUUAAGCGAGGAGGAGGGUACUGGUAUUAAUACUACCAGGUACUGGACGUUACUCGCAGAAUAAGCACCGGCUAACUCUGUGCCAGCAGCCGCGGUAAUACAGAGGGUGCGAGCGUUAAUCGGAUUUACUGGGCGUAAAGCGUGCGUAGGCGGCUAAUUGAGUCGGAUGUGAAAUCCCCGAGCUUAACUUGGGAAUUGCAUUCGAUACUGGUUAGCUAGAGUGUGGGAGAGGAUGGUAGAAUUCCAGGUGUAGCGGUGAAAUGCGUAGAGAUCUGGAGGAAUACCGAUGGCGAAGGCAGCCAUCUGGCCUAACACUGACGCUGAGGUACGAAAGCAUGGGGAGCAAACAGG